GAGACACAGCAGGAGUGGGGAAGGUGAGCCUCAGCAGCUUUAAAUGAGCUCUGUGGCACACCUGUGAGACUUCACCUUCAGCAGGUCCCAGCACAGGUGCUGCAAGAGGCGGUGUCCCAGCAUCACCAAGAGGGAAUGCAGGAGCUGUGGAUGUUUUUGUCCUCAACACAUGGGAUUGCCCUGGUACUUUCCUCCUUUGAUAAAAGCAGUUGGUUAAAUCAAAGCGGCUCUGGGCAUAUAGAUCUCCACGAAGCAGAAGAGUUUUAGAUCCUCUGCUUUGCUACAUAAACAGUGAGGCUGUUCCUGUCUUGAACUCACUCUCCCUUGACACAGCCAGUGACUGGAAGGAGGAGAAAGUUUUUUUGAAAUAAUUUUCUCUUCGACCCUCCUGUUUGGACCUCAGGAGGUGCAGACCCCAAUGGGAGAGUGUCCUUUAAUCAGAAACCCUGCACUGUAGGCUGCACUGGGGAAAUGACCCUGACAGUGCUUGCUUGUGGCUUUGGGCACACCAUAGCCAUGCUGCAGCCUUCCAGUGGAUGACAAG